GCGGUUUUUUCUGGAUGUUCUUUGUCCGCUUCGUUUCAUGCCCUCCUGUCAUGUCUUCGGGCUGAGCAGGGGAGGAAACAAAAACUUGUC
rnacentral:telomerase_RNA from 1 species